UUUUUUAUUUGUUCUCAGUAUGCAGCUGCUAGAGUAUAGACCAAAUGGGAAAUGAUGACUGCUCAUCUUCUUCCAAAUGAAGAGAAUAUCAAGAAAGGGGAUGAUGAUAAGUUUUCAUUGGCAUUCGCAAGAAUUGAGAACCAUUACUUUGUGCUGGGGGGAGAUAACAGCUUACUUUCGCUCUCCCUCAAGCUAAUACAAGCAAGGAUGCAGACUUAUGGAUCCCAACAGACACAAAGCAGUGGCAGCAACCUCCUUUAAUAACACCUAUUAAAUUAAUGAGUAGUGAACCUCUUUGU